ensembl:lncRNA
CUGUGAUGUAAACAACGACCACUACUUCCGGUUAUGGCCGCAGGUAUGUUUUUUCCUGAUUUCUAAAGCGGUUUGCGGGAAAUUAAAUUGAUAUUUUUUGCACACUCUGUUUAUUUCAUAUCACUAAUUUUAGAACUAGUAUCAGUUUUACGGAUAUUUUUUAUGGUUUUUGGUGCUGAGCGCGCUAACAGCUAGUUAAAAAAAACUGACUUGAUAGCACAUUGUUAAGCUAGUUACGUUUUUCUCGUUUCGACCGCAUUUGCAGCAGUUUAAACGCAACUGUCCAUUUCUCGCUGUAAACAUCAAUGCCCAGACCUCUACUCAAGGAAGUAAAGGAGACUUUCAAGGAGUGAACUUUGAUGGUGAUGGAGAGUGAUGGAUAACCCGACAGCAAAUAAGAGCCACAUUCCCUGUCCGUCUUGGAUGGCCCAGAAUGGCUGGUCAGCAGCUUCAUCUCAGAACCCGCUCGUCAGCCUUCUCCCCACCUCCUAUGAGCAUAUGCAGGCACCCAAUCAGAGUUGUACUAACAACUUGAACACUGUAUCUUCCAGAAACAACCCUCAUGCUGACAUGUAUAAAACCUCUCAUAUUGGCAGCAUUCCAUCAUCCAGCUCGCUGUUUGCCACAGAUAUCCCAAAUCUCUCUCAAGGUAUUUCUUUUAAUCAGCAAAGCUCUAACCUUUCAUCGAUCAUGGUAUCAGCGAACCAAGGAAAAAAUGUUACCCCACCAGCUCUUCGACAGUCAAACCAAGGACUUCAGCUUUGUGGGCCCCAGGAUUUAUCUGUUCUCUCAUCCCACAAUGCCUUCAAAACAUUUCAAAAUCCAAUAUCCAGUCAGGGUUUGUCAAGUGGGAUUCAAGGUCUACCCCCCCGCCUGCCGUCAUGCAGACAACAUCAAGCUGCUUUUGAAGGAGAAAAUGUGGAGUCCGCUCAUGGUGCAGGAAACACUCAAAGCUAUACCUCAUCCACCUCUCAGGAGCAGCCUGAGUGGUUACCUUCAUCACAUUGCAGAGGAGCUGUGAAUGACCCUGUCCCAAAAGCAGCUGUUCAAAACACAAAUAGAUCUACUACGGCCAGCAGUGAAAAGCGGCGUUCAGAUGUUUUACAGCAGCGCGCUGAGCUGCUUAAACAACUGGCAGAGAUGGAUAAACUUCUGAAAGCAUUGCCAUCAGAUAACAGCAGCGAUGGGCAGUCGUCAGAUGAUGAGCCACCUCAGUGUGAACAGACUGCUGCAAAUUCAAAGUCGCGUAAUUCAGCAAAUGGUUCUUCACCUUCAUACUAUGACGAAGAAAAUGAUGCUUGUGAUACGCCAGAGUCACCUGCAGAAUCGCUGAAAAAGGAAGUUGUUUCAGACAUGUCAGGGGACGACGAUGAUCAGGAUUACUCACCAGGGAGUGAUGAAGAGUUCAAAGAAGGUUCUUCAGAUGAAUCCAGUCAUAGCGAUCCAGAGUCCCCCGUGAGUGAAGAACCGCACCAAGAAGAGCAGAACUCAAAAUCAGAAAAUUCUUCAGGAAAGGAUAAAGGAGUCACUCCUGUAAAGAGGAAACCUAUGAUUAGUCAGGCAGAAGCGUCACAAACGCCAGUGUUGCCAGCUGUAAAACGACCAAAUUCAAAAGCUCGAUUUUAUGACAAGAAGAAUUACUGCUUAUUUUGCUCCAAGGCUGUAUUAAAACUGUCACGGCAUUUUGAGUCAAUUCACAGUGACAAACCAGAGGUUGCAGCUGCAUUUCAGUAUCCCAAACACUCCAAAGAAAGACAAAAUAUAUGGAAAAAAUUAACAAAUGAAGGAAACUUUGCACAUAAUAAAAAUGUUUUGAAAACAGGAGAGGGAACUCUUGUCGUACGACAAAGACCGAAAGUGCUUGGACAGGCCCGUGACUUUCUUCCUUGUCUUCACUGUCAUGGUCUUUUUGUGAAGAGAAACCUGUUCAAACACAUGAGGACGUGCCCAGCGAAAAGCAAGAUUGAAAAGGAUUCAGGUAUUGGAAAAAAGCGCAUUGCAUCAAUGUGUGUGCUGGCAACUGUGGACUGUGAAGACCGUGGCAUAAGUGAUGUCUCUAGGAGCAUUCUGAAUGAAAUGAUAUACGAUGAUGUGACGCGAGCUGUCAUGGAUGACAGGAUUCUCUUGCAGUUUGGGGAAUACAUGUACAAUCAUUAUGGCCGUGAUGCGAAAAAGCACCCAUAUAUAAGACAAAACCUUCGUCAGAUAGCAAGACUUGUGCUUGAGGCUCAAAAAACGACCCCAAUGAAGAAGCUGGAGGACUUCUUUCACCCUUCAAACUUCCAGCGUGUGGUGUCUGCAGUGAACGUCCUGGCAGGCUAUGAUUCAGAAACUAAAAUUUACGCCGCUCCUUCCGUUGCAAUCAAGCUUGGUCACAGCCUGCAGAAGACCUGCAGUAUUGUUAAGGAUAACGCGGUAAAGUCUGGUGAUACAAAACAGGCAGAGGCUGCUAAAAACUUCCUCUCUGUGUACCAAAAGAAGUGGACUAAGCUUGUUUCUUCGGCCGCAUUAAGAAGUCUCAGAGAAAUUAAAUCAAAACGAGCAAAGCAGAUACCACUUGUUCAAGAUAUGAAGCGCUUGCAUUUCCACUUGGAGAAGGUUCAUACUACAGCUGAGAAGAAUCUACGAGACAGUCUUUCUACAGAAAAUUUUGUCGCUCUGGCCAGAGUCAUGCUUUCCCGGAUAAUCCUCUUCAACAAGAGAAAGCCUCGAGAGGUUGCAACGAUUCAGCUGACGGAAUUCAUGUCACGAACAAAGUCAGAUCCGCCUGAUGACUUGGACCUGUCUGUCACAGAGUUGGAAAAAACCAUGUGUAGGUUCUUCUCCAGAGUUGACGUACGUGGGGACUGUGGGAGAAAAGUCCCUGUUUUACUGAAGCCCUCAUUUGAGUCGGCUCUGGAGCUUCUAGUGGAUUCUCGUGAGGCAUGUGGGAUCACCAGUAAGAAUCCCUUCGUCUUUGCCCGACCAAAUGCUCUGUCUAACUACAGGGGGACAGAUUGUCUUCAAGGAUUUAUCAAAGAAUGUGGAGCUCAAAACUCUGAAGGUCUGACAUCAAAAAAUGUCCGCAAGCAUUUUGCAAAAAUGCUACAACUGAUGAACCUGGAUGAAAAUGAAGCCAACCAAAUUUUUGGGCCUAAUAACAAAAUCCAGAUCCUGCGGCAGUGCAAUGACUCCACACUGGAUGAUAUUGAAAUGGAUUCUGAAGCUGACUCGUGGGAUCAUAGUGAAGGCAGACCAGCAUCUCUUAAUCAACAAAAACAUGGAGGAAAAAGUGCCAACAAAUCUAUCAGAGGCUCCAAAUGUACACCCAAACACGUAUGGGGGGAUGCUGAGGUUCAUGCUGUAGAAAAACACAUGAUGCGCUUCAUUCAGGAGCACAAAGUGCCCCAGAAGGACGACUGCGUCAAGUGUCUUGAAGCUGAGGCAAAAGCACUGAGGAACCGCACGUGGAAAGGUCUAAAGAACUACGUCCGAAACAGGAUCACAACUCUGAAAAGACAAAAUGACUCUUCGCAGGAUUCUCCGACCAGCUGCAAAAGGCCCAGAGAAGCAGAACCACAGCAAACGAGACAGUCUUCGAGUGGACGACAAGCUGACUCACAGGAUCACGAUGAAGGUUCUACUGCAGACAGUGGAGAGGCACCUUUUAAUCAUCAAAAAGCACAUGGAGAAACAAGAAGCUCCAGCAAGACUACACGUCCCAAAUCUGUCAAAUCAGGUGGACAUGGUUCCCUUCAUAAAACUAAACACACGUGGGAGGAGGCAGAGGUCCACGCUGUAGAAAGACACAUGAUGAGUUUCAUUCAAGGCCACAAGGUGCCUCAGAAAGACGACUGCAUAAAGUGUCUUGAUGCUGAGCCAAGAGUGCUGAGAAAUCGCACGUGGAAAGGUGUAAAGGACUACGUCAGAAACAGGAUCACAACCCUACAAAGACAAAGCGGCUUCUCCCUGGAUUCACCGAAAAGCAGGAAAAGGCCCAGAAAAUCAGCAGAGCCACAGCAGAGUACUGCAUAUUACUAACCGCUGUAGAUUUGAUAUGAUGUUGUUUUCUUCAACAUUCCCUCUUAAUUGACUUAUCUCUCCCCCUACUCUCCCCAUUAAGAUUCCCAGUAAAAAGUAAUAAAGUAAUAAUUUUCCUUAUACGUAUAUAUUUUUUGUCUUCAAUACAGUGAGACAGUCUGCAGGUGGAGAACAAGCCAGUUCAUGGGAUCACAAUGACUCCUAUGCAGGUGGUGGAACAGAAAUGUUUUAUGAUCAACAAGAAGAUGAAGAAACAACAAGCUCCAGCAAAACGAGCAGAUCUGUCAAAUCCAGUGAGAAAGGUUUCCACCUUAAAACUAAACACACGUGGGAGGAGGCAGAGGUCCACGCUGUAGAAAGACACAUGAUGAGUUUCAUUCAAGGCCACAAGGUGCCUCAGAAAGACGACUGCAUCAGGUGUCUUGAUGCUGAGCCAAGAGCGCUGAGAAACCGCACGUGGAAAGGGGUGAAGGACUACGUCAGAAACAGGAUCACAACCCUGCAAAGACAAAGUGACUGUUUCCAAGAUUCACCAAAAAGCAGGAAAAGGCCCAGAAAAUCAGCGGGACAGCAGAGUACUCCACAUUACCAACAGCUGUAGAUUUGAUAUGAUGUUAAUACUCAAACCUGCAACAUUUCACAUCCUUCAGCUGACUUAUUGUUCUUUAGUCUUUCUGUCCAUUUGUAUAUCAGAUGUGAGAAUAUCUUUCCAUUAUGGUUCUCAGUUUUUGUUUUCUUUUUUUUUAUGUUUUAUUUUAUCAAGUUUGUUUAACAGAGACUGUUCAUGAAUACUGAAAAAUUACUGUUUUAUUCACAUUUAGAUAAAAGGUUUUUUUUAUGGUGUUCCUGGGUACUGUGACCAAUUUUGAAUACAGUAUCUGGUUACAUUGGUUGGUAUACUGGCACAUGAUGCUUUGUUAAAAUAAAUGUUCAACAGUAAAGUCUCAAAAAUAAUAUUGUAGCUUUUUUUUUGGCCAGGGGGGCAAAACCUUGUAUCUUGAUGGCACAUUAUUGUACACCAAGAGUGUACAGGAGUGGUAGGAAAAUUAGUCAUUCAGAAUGUUUGAAUUUGAUCAAAUA